rnacentral:rRNA from 1 species
GACAGAGGUGGCUAGCGUUGUUCGGAUUUAUUGGGCGUAAAGCGCACGCAGGCGGUUUGGUAAGUCAGAGGUGAAAUUCCGCAGCUUAACUGCGGAACUGCCUUUGAUACUGCCUUUCUCGAGUGCAUGAGGGGGAAGCGGAAUUCCGGGUGUAGAGGUGAAAUUCGUAGAUAUCCGGAGGAACACCGGUGGCGAAGGCGGCUUCCUGGCAUGUAACUGACGCUCAGGUGCGAAAGCGUGGGUAGCAAACAGG